rnacentral:sRNA from 1 species
UCUGUCGGGGCUCGCGUCUCUGCUUUGGGCUCCGUACUCCCAUAGCCUCCUUCAGGUAUGGCUCCAGCGGCCGCAGGAAAGAGUAGUUGUUUUUGGCCACGCCACUUCUGCCUUUGCAAUGUCUUCAUGGGAAUUGGCAGUUUAUUGUCCUCACCGGAAGCGGCCAGCCACCUCGGUGAGGGACCGCCCCCAUGCACUGCAAUUCCCAGCAUGCUUUUCGAACAAAUCUGAAGGCGGAGCCUAUUGUCACCCUAGCAGCGGAUCCACAUCUCGGGUUGGCUGCCUUUAGUGUGGCUUGGAAUGCGGUAUUCGGUUCAGCCACUCCUGAUGCUGAGCCUAGUCUCGUAUACCGAACACUACAGGAACUGGUUGUGUUCUAGAGAUCUUCCUGCCCCCCACUUCUCAAGUGCUGGGAUUAUAGGUUUGUGCCACCCGUCCCGCUUUAGCUCACUACAGUUCUUUAAGAUAAUGUCUUAAUCCCCGUCUCAGAAAUGAAUCAGAAAUUCAGAAAGGCUGAUCAAUCUUGUUAUCUGACUCCCCACUUCAUCGCUGGAAGAAGGAAUUGGGAGUUGAGAGAGAAGGCUCAGUCCUCAACUAAAGAAAACUUAUCUCUCUUUCCUUGGUGUGGAUGGCCUUCUUAGAGUGGUGAUGGGAAAUUUUAGAUUCCGAGCCUCUUAGACUGAAGCGGCUCUGGUCUUCAAUCUCCCUGUUACCUAGAGAGAAAAUUGUGUCUAGAGAUUAUGUCAAUGCUAGCGAGGCAGAGCAAAGAUGGAGUUACUAAGUACUUAAGCUCUACUAUGAGAUGUUCUUCCAUUAGGAAAAGCAAAACCAAAAACCUGGGAUUCUUUAAACAACAACAACAAAACAAAACAAAAAAACAAAACCACAAAGCAUUCAAUGGCCCCAGUUUCCAGAAUGAAUACAUUAUAUUUCAUAAUUUGGUAUUUUUAGGUUAAAGAACUUGGACUUCAGAAGAGCCAAAAUCUCCUGUUCUCAUCCCCUUUGGUUAUCUCGCUUCCCACAGACCACCAGGGUCACUAGGAAAUGGAGCUCGCUAAUUUAGGGUCGCUGUGACAUGGGAGAGACAUAGUCCAUGGGAGCUCAUAAUCUAACGAGAGACGGGUUUAUGGCAAACAAUUACAGUGUGGGUGCGGUCACAGAGAUGAGAAUAAAGUGCUUUGAUCACAUGAAGAAGUCAGUGCAGGGGAACGGAGGAUGACGGCACAGAAGGCAAAGCUAACCAAUCAACACGUAUCAACAGACACAUCUGUCUGUGCUGCUCUCAGAGGUGGUCAGAGAACCACCUUCUGGAGGUGCAUUCAUAGCUAAUCAAAGGGCUAAGAAGAAGUAAUCGGGUGUGCUCAGUCAUUCAUGGACCAUCCGGGUCAACCUUCACCUGCUCUGAGGCUCAGGGAGCAUCAAACAAGUGAGGAGAUAAAAACGAAGCAAGAGGCUGGGUAGGCAGCAUUGCACCCAUGAACUUGGAGCUGUGGAACCUGUAUACAGUCAGACCAGCCAGAAUUCCAGCAUCAAUGGGGGACUGGCUCCUGAGGACCGUGGCCCUAGCUGCAGAGAUACUGGCAAUUGAAGGCUGCCUGAGCAGAGUCUCUCUUCUUUGGACAUUUGAUGCUGGUGAGCUACCCAGAUCCAAGCGAAUGAACCCACAGCCAUGUACACAUGAGCAACACAGUUGGAUUCUGUGAGUUAUUAAAAACAA